ACACAAUUGGGAUUCUAAGACCAUAUGAUCUAAUUUGGACGCUUUGGUCAUAUGAGAGUGAAUAGCGUAACCGGCCUUAUGGUCG
rnacentral:ncRNA from 1 species